rnacentral:rRNA from 1 species
GACGGAGGAUGCAAGUGUUAUCCGGAAUCACUGGGCGUAAAGCGUCUGUAGGUGGUCAAAUAAGUCAACUGUUAAAUCUUGAGGCUCAACCUCAAAAUCGCAGUCGAAACUAUUAGACUAGAGUAUAGUAGGGGGUAAAGGGAAUUUCCAGUGGAGCGUGAAAUGCGUAGAGAUUGGAAAGAACACCGAUGGCGAAGGCACUUUACUGGGCUAUUACUAACACUCAGAGACGAAAGCUAGGGUAGCAAAUGGG